rnacentral:rRNA from 1 species
AACGCUGGCGGCGUGCUUAACACAUGCAAGUCGAACGGAAAGGCCCUGCUUUUGUGGGGUGCUCGAGUGGCGAACGGGUGAGUAACACGUGAGUAACCUGCCCUUGACUUUGGGAUAACUUCAGGAAACUGGGGCUAAUACCGGAUAGGAGCUCCUGCUGCAUGGUGGGGGUUGGAAAGUUUCGGCGGUUGGGGAUGGACUCGCGGCUUAUCAGCUUGUUGGUGGGGUAGUGGCUUACCAAGGCUUUGACGGGUAGCCGGCCUGAGAGGGUGACCGGCCACAUUGGGACUGAGAUACGGCCCAGACUCCUACGGGAGGCAGCAGUGGGGAAUAUUGCACAAUGGGCGGAAGCCUGAUGCAGCAACGCCGCGUGCGGGAUGACGGCCUUCGGGUUGUAAACCGCUUUCGCCUGUGACGAAGCGUGAGUGACGGUAAUGGGUAAAGAAGCACCGGCUAACUACGUGCCAGCAGCCGCGGUGAUACGUAGGGUGCGAGCGUUGUCCGGAUUUAUUGGGCGUAAAGGGCUCGUAGGUGGUUGAUCGCGUCGGAAGUGUAAUCUUGGGGCUUAACCCUGAGCGUGCUUUCGAUACGGGUUGACUUGAGGAAGGUAGGGGAGAAUGGAAUUCCUGGUGGAGCGGUGGAAUGCGCAGAUAUCAGGAGGAACACCAGUGGCGAAGGCGGUUCUCUGGGUCUUUCCUGACGCUGAGGAGCGAAAGCGUGGGGAGCGAACAGGCUUAGAUACCCUGGUAGUCCACGCUGUAAACGGUGGGUACUAGGUGUGGGGUCCAUUCCACGGGUUCCGUGCCGUAGCUAACGCUUUAAGUACCCCGCCUGGGGAGUACGGCCGCAAGGCUAAAACUCAAAGGAAUUGACGGGGCCCCGCACAAGCGGCGGAGCAUGCGGAUUAAUUCGAUGCAACGCGUAGAACCUUACCUGGGUUUGACAUGGAUCGGGAGUGCUCAGAGAUGGGUGUGCCUCUUUUGGGGUCGGUUCACAGGUGGUGCAUGGCUGUCGUCAGCUCGUGUCGUGAGAUGUUGGGUUAAGUCCCGCAACGAGCGCAACCCUUGUUCACUGUUGCCAGCACGUUAUGGUGGGGACUCAGUGGAGACCGCCGGGGUCAACUCGGAGGAAGGUGGGGAUGACGUCAAGUCAUCAUGCCCCUUAUGUCCAGGGCUUCACGCAUGCUACAAUGGCUGGUACAGAGAGUGGCGAGCCUGUGAGGGUGAGCGAAUCUCGGAAAGCCGGUCUCAGUUCGGAUUGGGGUCUGCAACUCGACCUCAUGAAGUCGGAGUCGCUAGUAAUCGCAGAUCAGCAACGCUGCGGUGAAUACGUUCCCGGGGCUUGUACACACCGCCCGUCAAGUCAUGAAAGUUGGUAACACCCGAAGCCGGUGGCCUAACCGUUGUGGGGGAGCCGUCGAAGGUGGGACUGGUGAUUAGGACUA